UUUCCUGUCUGUAAAUGAAAGUGAAAAAGACUUAAAGCCAGAGUCGCCAUUUCAACAAGAAACACGAAUAAGAUUCCGGAGGAUAUAAAGAUAUUUGCUUUGCAAGUUUAGGUGAAGCUGAAACUACAGCAAAAACUUGAUUCACUGGUCUGAAGUUAUUUUACUCUGAAGUGGAUUUUCAGUGCAAGAGAAAACAUCUGGCUAUUAAAGCGAUAUUUGCUGGUUUGCAGAGGAAAGUAUGGCAAGCUAUACCAAACACGCUGAUGACUUCUGCACGUCUUUUGAAUCCCAUUUGGAGUCUGACAACACAUGGAGAGGUAGGAGGAGGUACGUCAUGUACCAUGGUACCACACGGACAGCCGCAUUAAGUAUUAAAAAGCACGGAUUUCGGCGGUCUAGCGAUGGCAUGCUUGGACCUGGAGUCUAUAUCAGUCGGAGCUUUCAGAAGGCCAAGGCUUACCCAAUAAAUCUACCCGUCAAUGAGCAGCGAGCUGUACUCAAGCUGAGGGUUCGAGUAGGAAAAGUAAAGAAGAUCGACCGGCAGGGACACCCCCUCCAAAAAUCAUGGCAUCAGCAUGGAUAUGACACAGCCUGGGUACCACCCAACUGCGGAAUGGUUCCUAGUGGCUUGGAGGAAGAUUGUGUUUGGGAUCCCUGGAGGAUCGAAGUUUUAGAUAUAAUCUAUGUAUAGUUCUUUAUAAUCUUCUAUUACCUAUUAUGUUAAGAAUCUCUCUCACUCUCUUUCUCGCUCACAUGCACACACACACAUACGGUCGUGUAAUCAUAUCUUUGUGGGGACCACUUAUUCAUUUCUAUGGGAAAAAUGCUAAUGCUAACUAUGACAACCUUAAGCCUCAUCCUACCAACAGUGGUCCCUGCACAUCUCAGAGGUAUAGAUUUUGUCGUAUCUCACAGGUGCUUUAGUUUAAAAAAAAAUAAUAAUAAUAAUUGCAAGCUAUUAUGACUGUCAAUCAAUUUGUUCCCAAUGAUGUCACAUCAUUCUUUUCUAUUUCUACUUUGAUUAGUGCUUUUUAAAAACAUAAAUGUUUUGGGGUCCCAGGGAACCCCAGUCAAAAGUGCCAAAUUCCGCCUAUGCAGUUUUAAUAAAAUUAACUAUUUAAUCAGUUAAUGUUUGCUGGUAUUAAUGUUGUUUAUAUGUUUAAAAGUUAUAAUGUAUGGUACUCUUAUAAAUAGUAAAGAGUGUAUAGAAAGACGUUUAUGUAAAUCUUAUGGGUUAUGGCUGCGUUUCUUUGUAGUCGGAUUCAUGUUCCCGACAUGUUUGAAAACCUGGCAGUUUUGGGGCUUUAGUGAGGGAGUCACAUAAUUUUUUCUUACCCCAGUGAUGCCUCAUUAACAAUAACCAAGCUUUAGGUUUUUUCUUGUGGAAGAUACUCUGGAAUAAACAUUUGUUUUAUCUUUCUUUUACAAGCA